rnacentral:rRNA from 1 species
UACGUAGGGGGCAAGCGUUGUCCGGAAUCAUUGGGCGUAAAGCGCGUGUAGGCGGCCCGGUAAGUCCGCUGUGAAAGUCCAGGGCUCAACCCUGGGAUGCCGGUGGAUACUGUGAGGCUAGAGUCCGGAAGAGGCGAGUGGAAUUCCUGGUGUAGCGGUGGAAUGCGCAGAUAUCAGGAGGAACACCAAUAGCGAAGGCAGCUCGCUGGGACGGUACUGACGCUAAGGCGCGAAAGCGUGGGGAGCGAACAGG